AGAGUUUGAUCAUGGCUCAGGACGAACGCUGGCGGCGUGCUUAACACAUGCAAGUCGAACGAUGAUGCCCAGCUUGCUGGGUGGAUUAGUGGCGAACGGGUGAGUAACACGUGAGUAACCUGCCCUUGACUUCGGGAUAACUCCGGGAAACCGGGGCUAAUACCGGAUAUGAGCUACCUUCGCAUGGGGGUGGUUGGAAAGUUUUUCGGUCAGGGAUGGGCUCGCGGCCUAUCAGCUUGUUGGUGGGGUGAUGGCCUACCAAGGCGACGACGGGUGGCCGGCCUGAGAGGGCGACCGGCCACACUGGGACUGAGACACGGCCCAGACUCCUACGGGAGGCAGCAGUGGGGAAUAUUGCACAAUGGGCGAAAGCCUGAUGCAGCGACGCCGCGUGAGGGAUGAAGGCCUUCGGGUUGUAAACCUCUUUCAGCAGGGAAGAAGCGCAAGUGACGGUACCUGCAGAAGAAGCGCCGGCUAACUACGUGCCAGCAGCCGCGGUAAUACGUAGGGCGCAAGCGUUGUCCGGAAUUAUUGGGCGUAAAGAGCUCGUAGGCGGUCUGUCGCGUCUGGUGUGAAAUCCCAUGGCUCAACUGUGGGCUCGCAUCGGGUACGGGCAGACUAGAGUACUGUAGGGGAGACUGGAAUUCCUGGUGUAGCGGUGGAAUGCGCAGAUAUUAGGAGGAACACCGAUGGCGAAGGCAGGUCUCUGGGCAGUUACUGACGCUGAGGAGCGAAAGCAUGGGGAGCGAACAGGAUUAGAUACCCUGGUAGUCCAUGCCGUAAACGUUGGGCACUAGGUGUGGGGCCAGUUCCACUGGUUCUGUGCCGUAGCUAACGCAUUAAGUGCCCCGCCUGGGGAGUACGGCCGCAAGGCUAAAACUCAAAGGAAUUGACGG
rnacentral:rRNA from 1 species